rfam:Escherichia hermannii NBRC 105704 DNA, contig: EH10570402.
GGGUGCUUAAGGCUUUCUGUCUUAAGUACACAUCGACGAGGGACAGAAAGAGAAAAGCCCCGGGCAAUAUUUCUAUUAACCCGAGGCUAUCCCUCAACUCCGACAAGUUGAGAAUAGCCGCUUACUCGCCGCAAGGCAAGGAGUAAAAGGCAUGAAG